AGUUUAGCCAUUGUACCUAUGUUCCCAAUCUGAUUCCAUUUUUUCAGUUAGCUCAAAUUAAGAGGAAAACAAUAAUUAUGUUGUAAAACUUACGAUUGGAUUUAAUAAGUUCUUAUUUCAUUAAUUAUAAAGUGUGCCCUUUAUAUAGGGAAUUACAAGAUAGAUAAAAAGAAAGAUUACAAAUCAUAAACACAAAGGAAAAAGGAAAAGGAAAACACAAGGUAGCUGCAUCUCUCUCUC
rnacentral:lncRNA from 1 species